AGCGAACGCUGGCGGCAGGCUUAACACAUGCAAGUCGAACGCGUCCUUCGGGGUGAGUGGCAGACGGGUGAGUAACACGUGGGAACGUACCUUUUUGUUCGGAAUAACUCAGGGAAACUUGAGCUAAUACCGGAUACGCCCUUAGGGGGAAAGAUUUAUCGCAGAAAGAUCGGCCCGCGUCUGAUUAGCUAGUUGGUGAGGUAAAGGCUCACCAAGGCGACGAUCAGUAGCCGGUCUGAGAGGAUGAUCAGCCACACUGGGACUGAGACACGGCCCAGACUCCUACGGGAGGCAGCAGUGGGGAAUAUUGGACAAUGGGCGAAAGCCUGAUCCAGCCAUGCCGCGUGAGUGAUGAAGGCCCUAGGGUUGUAAAGCUCUUUCGGCGGGGACGAUAAUGACGGUACCCGCAGAAGAAGCCCCGGCUAACUUCGUGCCAGCCGCCGCCGUAA
rnacentral:rRNA from 1 species